UGGAUGGCAAAACGGUCUAUUCGGAUGACACAGACCUCGGCCACCUCAAAGCGGCAGCUGCUGCUACAACAAAAUGCCCAGAAAGAGAUGUGGUAAACUUUCCAAGACCAGUCCGUCAAGCGUAUCCUGGCAAUGUACACAUGUGCUUCAUCCCUUGUAUUGCCCCAUACCUGAAAUUACGCAUAUUCCUACUAGAAAUCCGACGCCGAAAUGAACGCUGGUCGAGAUAUGGCCAUUGUAGAAGCCUAGGCCAAAAUCGUGGCAGGGAAGAUUGAACAGGAUCGAUCUCUUGCCAUGAAGAUGCUUUUUGACGCUGCCAAGAGGGAAAACGUUGUCCUUCAGCUUGAAGUUUGCUUACAGCGAUCAGCUCGUCAGAGUUUUUUCUGAGAUGAACCGUAUUUCUUGUCGCUAUUGGUGCGAUUCCCCAUCCGGAUGCGUGAUUGGAAACUUUUAACGGAAGCAGCGGCUCACUUUGCGAUGGCAGGGUUUGGUUUACCCGAUGUACUCGGGUCACACGAUGAUUUAUGCGGGCGAUCUCAUCCAUUGAAGCAAGUCCAGCUCUUACAAAUUUAAUGGAUCGCGUGGAAGACGUAUCUCAACUCUGGCUGGGUUUGAGAAUCACCAAACGUAUACGCCUUGCUGAAGAGCACGUCAGCUUAUUGUAGGUCUCCGGAAGAACUUGGCCAAAUCCUGGGAGAAUGCCCCACCACUCAUUCCAUCGUGCUACGCCAACGCUCACAGUUUAUUGCUUGCGCCGGCCGAAGAGCUCGCAGAUCUCUGGGGCGAACAGCACACGCGGAGUGGAGACGAACCCUGUCAAUCACGUGUGUGAUUACAUCUUUCUCAGGUUUGGACACACACCCUAGUCCAUGUUUCAAGUUACAUAGAAAUUCAAUCAACCCCUGUAUACAAGCUGUCGUCUGCUUACUUCCAGUUGUUUCCAGAACUCGAGAACGAAAAUGAAAAUGCCUGCUCUCCACAUUUGACUGUAAAGUCAACGUCCUGGAGUGCCUGCCGUCGUGGACGCGUUUACCUGCCCUUCAUGGAAAAAUUGUCAGGAUUCCGGAAUCAUUUGCAGUUUCAAAUUCCAGAUGGCACAGCUUAGUCGUCUGGACUGUCACUCAGACAACGAGCCUCGUGUGUCGUGUCUACGCCCCUUUUUACGUCGUCUGCCAAAGAAGUUUUCCAACAAGAAUGUAAAUUAACUACUGUUUAACAAAUAACGGAGAAGAAUGGAACACAAGUCUUCCAUAAACAAAAACAGAUAUGGAGAGCUUCCAGCAAACUUUGCAUCAUCGUUCCUCUUCUGUCCUCGCGUACGUCUAUGUGAGCGCAAAGGUAUCCAUGGGGACGUCGUAUAUAUUCCGCUUCCACCUCCAGAAGUCACCACUGCUACCCUAAUCAUUCAUUUGGCCAUCAAGUUAAUAAUAAGGUUUGGCAACUGCUUGGUCUAAAUGGUGCUGCUGUUCAUCCAUGGGUGAAGAUACAUAGUAGCCUGCACUUAAUUUUUACUAUCAUGUGUGAAUUGUUCAUCGAUGUUUGAAGUUGAGGGUUUUUUAUGAAGUCUGAAGAGUGUCUGAAGAUAUUUUGUAGUCAGCCCUUGACCAAAGAAGGGAAUUCAACAUUAUCGAUAAUCAGAUUUAAAUUAUGUAGCAGUUCUAACUUGAGCUGUGCUAUCUUUGUUACCUGCAAUUUGUCGCAAUGGUAUUUUUAUUUGUAUCAGUAGUAAUGAAAUAUACAAACUAAGUUGA
rnacentral:lncRNA from 1 species